CCGCCGUGGCGGACGGCUGGUGAAGUUUUCGUCUCUUGCUGGUGUUUGUGGUGGCCCAUUGAGUGCUGUCAUCCGACAAUACACUCAUGAUCUGCGGCUAAAAGGCACUCGGAUCUGUGUUCGGUGUCGACUAGCAGUGGCGCACUUCUACGUGCGUGUUUUGAAGUGAAGUGUAGCGGCUUCAAACCGAAGUGUUGUGUGCGAAAGGUCAUCCUCGUUUCCUCGUCGAAAAAUUCGCCUGGCUUUUAACAGGUGGCGGCUGUAUUAGAUUCACCUUCAUGCGGAUACACGUCUUCACGUCACCGUCACCAGCGUCACAUGGUGAACUGGAUGUCCGUCUUAGCUGCGUGCUAUAACGUUGGUAAGUUCAGCUGCGCUAGCUCAACUGUGCCGGCUGGAUGUGUUCAACCGCGUUUGCAUUAUUUGACACUACCUCAUGAGAAAGUUCUAGCUGGCAAGAUGCAUUUAUGGUCUUAGAAAUUGUUCUUUUUCGCAUCCCCUUCAACCAAUCCACAUUCUGCAUUAAAAUGCUUAAAUCUUUUUGUAACAUUGGGAAGUAGUAAUUAGAUUUGUACGCGCAAUUAUAAUAAAACAAUGUAUUUAAAAAAUGUAAGUUGUGAUUUCAGUAGGGGAGGGGAAAGUGUCUUUGAAAAAAGCUGGCGAUUGUAAUUGAUAAUAACCUAAAAUGUGUUAAUGGAAAUCAUGUCUAUCUUAAGCGAGCAUCUCACGUGGUUAAAAUUUAC